GAUGAACGCUGGCGGCGUGCUUAACACAUGCAAGUCGAACGAAGCACUCUACUUGAUUUCCUUCGGGAAUGAUUGUUUUGUUGACUGAGUGGCGGACGGGUGAGUAACGCGUGGGUAACCUGCCUCAUACAGGGGGAUAACAGUUGGAAACGACUGCUAAUACCGCAUAAGCCCACGACCUCGCAUGAGGUUGUGAGAAAAACUCCGGUGGUAUGAGAUGGACCCGCGUUGGAUUAGCUUGUUGGUGGGGUAACGGCUCACCAAGGCGACGAUCCAUAGCCGACCUGAGAGGGUGACCGGCCACAUUGGGACUGAGACACGGCCCAA
rnacentral:rRNA from 1 species